UCUGCAAUGUCACGACUUUCUCCAAACCCUCAGAAGUACUCUGAUUCCAGUAGCAAGGUGAGAUCCCUGGAAGAACUUGGACUGUUUAUGAAUGUGAGCUGUGUCACACCACCAAGGUCAACUGAGGAGCGUAGGAAGGAGGAGAAAUGUGCCCAGUGCCAGAGCAGAGCGAGUGGAAAAGCACAGGGCUCUAGGGCUAUGGAUGCCCUGUGCCACUAGCUUGGUCUCCAACACGUCUUCAAGAGGGGCUGAGCUGAGCAGUUGAUCUUGAGGCCAGACCUACAUGCUAAAGGUGCUGCCUCCAGAGAUCCUCUGUCCUUUGUCCUUGGUGACGAUGAAAACUCUGUCCCCUUUGUCCUUGGUGACGAUGAAGAGCCUGGUGUUGGAGCCACUUGGGAGGCUUCUACCACCAUCAUGCUCCGUCUCCUCACAGACCCACAGUGGCGGAUACUGGACAAUCAUUGCCUGACCACUCCAACACUAUGAACCAAAUGAAGUCUUCCACUUUCAUGCAUUUCUCUCAGGUGUUUGUCACAGCGAUAGAAAGCUGACCAACAUGAGCAGUCCCAGAGGAUGGGAGGGACACCUUCAGAUACCAUCACACCGGGACAGUCUGGAUGUAACAGCGACAACUGUGUAACUGUAGCUAACACUUAUUAAGCAUGAAUAUGUUUCCACAUGAUCGUUUUUAAUAUAGAAUGCUUUGCAAAUUUGUCUGUCUUCUGGGCACUGGUACUGUCUUAGUCAGGGUUACUAUUGCUGUAAUGAAACACCAUGACCAAAGCAAGUUGCAGAGGAAAGGGUUUAUUUGGCUUACACUUCCACAUUGUAGUCUAUCAUUGAAGGAAGUCAGGAUAGAAACUCUAACAGGGCAGGAACUUGAAGGCAGGAACUGAUGCAGAGGCCAUGGAGGGAUGCUGCUUACUGGUUUGCUCCUCAUGGCUUGCUCAACCUGCUUUCUUAUAGAACCCAGGACCACCAGACCAGGGGUGACUCCACCCACAAAGGGCUUGGCCAUUCCCCAUCAAUCACUAAUUAAGAAAAUGCCCUACAAGCGUGUCUGCAGCCUGAUCUUACAGAGGUACUUUCUUAAUUGAAGUUCCCUCCUAUCAGAUGACUUUAGCUUGUGUCAAGUUGAUAGAACACUAGCUGGCACAGGGACCAUGCUAAUCUUUGUGUUGCUCCAUUUUUAGCAUGUGUGCUGUGGAAGGGAGACACCAUAAGUUUUAAGUAUAUUGCAUGGUAAUUUCCAGACCUGACAUAGAGACACUUGUUUUGCACACAGAUUUUUUCACAUGCAAAUGACAGGGUGACUGAGCUGUCCCGGUUUACUGAAGAUUGUCUAGUAUUAAAACUGAAAGUGCAGCAUUCUAGGGACAGUCCUUAAAGCUGAGUCAAAUGGGGUGGUUAGUCAUCAAGUGAGGGCUUGGGACUCAAGAAAUGGGAAGCCUGAGAAAGGUGAAACAGGAAAACAGUGAGGAAUCCAGGGACAAUGCAUUUUAUGCUUGUAUUUGGCAGGGGUGGAUAUACAUGUCUGUCUGUCUGUCUGUCUGUCUAUCUAUGUGUCUGGGUUUGUGUGUGUGUUGUGUCUCUAUGUGUACAUGUGUCUAUGUGUCUGAGUUUGUGUGUAUGUCUCUGUGUGUGUGUCUGUGUGUGUGUGUGUCUUUGUGUCUCUAUGUGUUUGGGCCUGUAUGUGUGUGUCUGUGUGUGUGUAUGUGUGUGUGUGUGUGUGUGUGUGUGUGUGCAUGUGUGUCUGUGUCUAUGUCUGGGUUUGUGUGUGUGUGUUUGCUGUGUCUGGGGGGGUGUUUGUAUGCAUGUGUGUCUAUGUGUUUUUGUGUGUGUCUGUGUCUAUGUCUGGGUUUGUGUGUGUGUGCUGUGUCUGUGGGGGGGUGUUUGUAUGUAUGUGUGUCUGUGCAUUUGUGUGUGUGUCUGUGUGUAUGUGGAGAGGAAGAAGGUGGUAAGCUAAUUAAUUAAAACAAGAAACAAGAUUAGACUGUGUAGACCAGCAGGGGCUACCAUAGGAGACGAUGUCAUUUGCUUCCGUUUGUCCUUGAGCUCUGCACGGUGUGGCAGCUAUUUCAGGAUAUGCUGGCUGGAUCCUUCCAUCAGCACCUUCAUUGGACUUACCCAGGUCCUCAACAUGUCCCUUGUCAGGAUUCCUGGCGGUCUGCUGGACACCAUGAGUCCCAGGCUUUGGGGACACUAAACUCUAGAGCAUGGGAAAAAGCACACAGUGGGGCUGAGUGCUAAUCUCCCCAGGACCUUGUCUUAGACCUAAAGACUUCUCCAGGCAGGAAGGCUCAACCCUCAGCACCCUGCCCCGAGGAGAUGUCACUGUGGGUUGCCCAUGGGGCUCUGAGCUUGUCUUUCUGGGACUCACAGUUUCUUGAGUUAGUUUUGAUCACUUGCAGCAUUGGACGAUGAAGGCUUUGUGGUUCUGAUAGAUGUUUCUAGACACAGGUACUCUUGGCUGCAGAAAUACUCCAUGACUCCAGGCAGCAAAUAAAAAGAAGCUGAAAACCAAAUUCUCAAUGACCAAUUCAGGGUCUUGAGGAUGAUGGGAAGUGGUGGAGUGGAUUCCUGGAUAUAACAAAACAUGUCAUCAUUCUCCCCCAGGAGCUCUCGGCUUUUAGAAGAAUGUUUUGCCUAGAGAAGGAAGUGGAACCAAGAAAGACAGUCCUUCCUUCUUGGUUUCCCGAAUUAAAGCCCCCCCCCCCUUAUAUAUACACACAUGUGUGAGCAUGCUCAUGCACCUGCACAGAAUCUUUCUAUAUAGCCCAGGUAGACAUUAAGCUCCUCUUGCCUCUGGCUCCCAAGUGCUGGAAUUACUAGCAUGUACUCCUACCCUCAGAUCUUUUGUUUCAAAACUGACAAAUUGUACGUGUGUGUAUUUAGAGAGUGCCAAAUGCUGCUAUGAUACAAUAUAGGAUGGUUUAAUCAGGGCUAUUAACAUAUUUAUCUCAAAUUUCUAUUUCUUUUACCAGAAUGUUUGAAGUUUAAAUUGAAAUAUUCAGCUUUUUGCUAAACAUACUGUCAUCUGGAAAAAAGAGAAACCAAAGACGAACCCCCGCCCUGCUCCUGUCUGAGGAGGUGCCUCCUCCUCCCCUCCCCCAGUUUCUGGCCCCUUCCUCUCUGCAUCUGUGAGUACAGUUGUGGACUCCACAGGUAUAAUAGGAAUAGACAGUACAUCUUUCUGUGUUGGGCUUAUUUCAUUCAGACAGGGUUCUCCAGUCCCGUCUAUAUUGUUGCAAAUUGACAGACUAUCUUCCUCAUUUUCAAAAUGUUAAUUGUACAAAGCCAUAGGUUUUAUAAUAGUUCCAUCCAUGUGUGUCAUGUACUUUCAUCAUAUUCACCCCCUCCCACCCCCACCACACCUGCUUGCUCUGUUACAACCCUGAUAGUACUUUCAUGACCUCUUACAAACCACACAUGAGGGAAAACACACGCCCCUUGUCCUUCAGUGUCUGACUUAUUUCCCUUAACACAAUGAUCUCUAGUUCUAUCAAAUUUCCUGGAAACAUUGUUUUUUCUUUAUGACAGAAAAGCACUCCAUUGUGUGUAUAUGCACCCUAUUUUCUUCAUUCCUUUAUCUGUUGAUGGGCCUUUAGGUUGAUUUUGUAACUUGCUAUUGUGAGUAGAGCGGCAAUGAACAGGGAGGGGUGUGCAAGCAUCAUUUGAAAACUGCUUCUUUUUCAAAGACUGAAGAGUACCCCAUUGUGCACACAACACAUUUCCUUUAUAAUUGAUCCCUUGAUGGGCACUUAGGUUGAUUUUAUAGCUCCGCUAACUGUGUCUAAUGCUGCAGCCAACAUGGGAAUCCAGCCUUCAACACAAUGAUUUCAAAUCUGCAUCCCUUCAUCAUUUCUGUUUAUUCACUUGCUGACUCAUUAUUUUUACAUAUUCACGGGCACACACUGUCUUUCAGCUAUGUUCGUAUCUCCGCUCACUCUUGUAUGUUUUCACCAUGUGUUCUAGGCUCUGAGUGGCCUCUGCAUCAGGGAGUGCUUCCUCCAUCAGGAUGACAGAACCCCAGUCUGGCACACAGACAGCAUUUGGACUUGUGUACUGCGUCAUCUAUUCGGGAACACAGCCCACUGCAACUCCACGAAAGUCCUAGACAUUCCAUCGAAAGUCUAUGGUCCUUUUGGCCAUCCCAUUGGGGCGUGGGGAGCAGGCCCUGUAAGAUGGUCUGUUCCCAAAUUGGGUGAUCUCCUGGCUGAGGAUAUGGGGGAAAUCGACUCAACAAUUCUUAUUUGCAAAGGUAAUGACAGAGGCAGAUGGGGGUCUGAUUUUACAGGCUGCACUAUUUAGAGAGCCCCAGGAUUGGGAGGCUCCAGAAAGAAUUUUAUUUCUCCCAGAUUUCUCAAAGCAACCCUAUGGGAAAUCAACCAGAGGGAAGCUUUUAGGGACCACACACACACACACACACACACACACACACACACACACACACACAAACACACACGCACAAUUCCAAGGACAUCUUGCCCAGGCUGGUGCCCAGUCUGCUAUACUCUGCUGAGCCCUCAGCCCUGCUGACAACUGGUCUUGGAUGAGGCACUGUGAGCCAACACUUUAGUGGGAGAAAAGGCAACAGCUCUGCCCAUUGUUGGUGCACCAGAAAGUAACAGAAAACACAAAACCAGCCAGCACUGUCUGCCAUUUGCAAAGGACACAUUGUCACCUCACUCAAGCUAAGCGGGGAGGUGGAACUCCAUUACUUUCACUCACAAAUGGGAAGAGUCAACCCAUGGAUUCGUUACAUUUCUAUUGGCUGUGAGGAAACACUAUGACCAAGGCAGCUAAUAGAAGGAAGUGUUUAAUCGGGCUUAUGGCUCCAGAGGUUUAGAGUCCAUGAUGAUGGAGCAAAGGCUGCAAGAACAGCUGAGUGCCCACAUGUCAAACUGCAAACAGAAAGUAGAGGAAGCACUCUGGGAAUAGCAUGAGUCUUUUGAAACCUUAAAGCCCACAGCCAGUGACGUGUGCCUCCUUCAGACUAAGUCACACCUCCUAAUUUUUCCCAAACAGUCCCACCAAUGGCAGACCAAGUAUUCAAACAUAUGAGACUAUGGAGGGCAUUCUCACUUAAUCCAUCAACCCCAUUAAAGAGAGUAGAGCCAGGGUUUGAACCCAGGUCUCUUUGAUUCCAAAUGUGUGUGGGUGUUCAUGGACACAGAGCCAAGCCUGUCACAACUGCAGGCCCAGUGAUGGCUGUCUUGGAGGCACUUUGGUAAUAGGGAGAGGGUACUGUGGCCAUGAUUAGCCAGAGAUGUCUUCUUGUAGGAAGCUUGGGCUUAUGGAGUCUGAACUAGACCUGAAUUUACCCUUCCUCUUUCCUCCAGCAGCCUUAGAAGCAGAAAUGUUUCCACCUCAGCCCUCCCUGCUGCCUGGGGAAGAGGAAACUGAUCUUUUAUUCCUCAGAAACACUGAAGCCAAGGCAUGAGACCCAAAUGGCCUAGGGAAUGUAAUUGGUGCAGCUUUGUCUAAGAAGAGAAAGAACUGGCCUCGGUCUUCUCUGUGGGUAAACAUAAUUAGCCUGGAUAACAGACCAAACCCUCCUUCAGCUCCGACCCUCCACAGCUAAGGGACCUGCUGGCUUUUGGCAACUCUCAGAACCCAGGACCUUUGCUGGGGCCACAGCAAUUUGAUUUAUCUAGGAAACAAGGCAACAUUAUAAGGAAAGGUUUACAAUUUCAAUAUGCAGAGAUUAAUUUACAUGCAGAGCUAAUUAGGCAAGCGAAACACCCAUGAAUUGAUUAUUAUAUGAAAAAGAACACAUCUAUUUGGAGAAAUGUGCUCUAUAAGGUUGUACAGUAUUUGCAAACUUAAUUGCCAAGUGGAAAUUCCCCUUCUAGUGGUUAAGAAAUUUAAGCAAUUAGCCUUUGCUGGCAGGGCCUUUCAGUCCUCACACAGCACAGGGAAGUUCUGGGCUCUGCCUUUGCAAGGGACAUCUGGAAAAGAACCCAGCACUUUGGGCCCCACUUCAGCCCCAGCCUGGCUCACAGGUCUGUGAACCAAGGCUCCACGUCUGCAUGGCCAGUUCUUACAUUUUUUUUUCCUAUUACAAGAACUUGGCAAUUAUGACUUUCCUAUAAGACACGGUUAUAUUCUCUAACCAUAGGCUUUGUGGCGUUCAUGGAAUUGUAUCAGCUCACUCAAAGUCACAGUGCUAAGGGUGGAGUCGGGCCUUGAGCCCCAGUCUCCUGUCUUUUCUCCAGAGCUAAAGCAUCUAUUUACUGAUUUCCUUUUCUGCUCUUUCCUGUGUCACUGAACAAGCUGACAAUGUGUAUAGCUAGAACAGACAAGCAUCCAUGACCUGGGGUGUACUGGGUACACACACACACACACACACACACACACACACACACACACACACACACACAGAGAGAGAGAGAGAGAGAGAGAGAGAGAGAGAGAGAGAGAAGACCAGCCAACCAAAAGAGUGUCUUGUAAGAUUCUUGAUGCCAACUUCCACGACUCUCUCAUCCAUUAACCCGCCUACUAUCUCUCUAACCUGCUCUGAACUUUAGUAUGGGUUUUCUUUCUCCUUGUGGACUACUUUCCACUCCGUGUGGAAGAAAUGGGCACAGCUCACAUGGUGCAGGCCUUCCAGAGAGAAUCUGUUCUUUCUCACUACAAGCCUCAGUUCCGAGGGUGGGGAUGGAUUCUGAUCGCUUUAUUCUGGGUGGGGUAAUUUGUGUCCAAUCGUCUGUAAGUUGAGCAAUGUGUGCGGCUGCAAACAUGGCUGCUGUGGCCUGAGGGAAGGAGAGAGAAUCAGUUCCCAGAAGUGGGGAUGGGAUCAGUCAGCCCAGGAGCUCAGCACAGAGACCAACAGACUGUCUGGACAUCUUGCACUCUGGGAGAGGAGGCGGCACUGAGGCAGGCUGAGGGCUCGGCCCGGCACGGAAGGCCUGACUGCUGAACCGAAUAAAGCCUCAGGAUAGUUAAGUAGUCACCGCACUGGGCCUCAGCUUCUCCAGAGGGAAGGCGGGAAUUCUGCAGUAAUGUCACGUGGGGUGCGCAGGAAGGAGCUUGUUGGAGGGUCUGGCAGAGUUCCUCCUCCAUGGUGACCAGUUUUCUACAGCUCCAUCAGGCAGUCCUGGGACCUGAGAAUCCAAUGGGAUCCUUUCUGGAGGGAAGCCUGCGAACCUUCUGCAGAGUGCCCUUCACCGACAGCAGGCCUUUGGCACUCACCCGCCCAGGCCUCAGACACCAUGGAGAGCUGUAGCUCCCAACCACAGUCUAGUUCAGCUCAGGCUUCAGAACGAACUGCCUCUGCCAGAGUUCUGAGGACAGCUGGAAGCCUGGCAGAGGCCAUUCCCAGAAUUCUGUGGGUGGGUUUAUAGCCCUGUGGACUCAGGCUGGCAGAUUGGCCUGUCUCUCCUCACAUGGCAGGUGUAAAUUUUUCUUGGGAAAUGGAGCCUGGCCGUUUGCUGCGAUCAUCGCCCGGGAUCAUUGUGCAGAGGAGGGCGGCUGUUCUUACCUUAGCUGCCAGUUAGUCACCUCACAGCGGACCCCAGCCUUUUCUUCUUCUCUGGGUCUUGAAGAAGCAAAACCUUGAAAGAUAUUUCUGACUUAAAAAAAAAAAUUUUAGUCUCUCCUUCUCUCCCCCCCACCCCACCGUCUCCCCC